GGUGAAUCCCCAUCUCUACUAAAAAAUACAGAAAUUAGCCAGGUGUGGUGGUGGGCACCUGUAAUCCCAGCUACUUGGGAGGCUGAGGCAGGAGAAUGGCUUGAACCUGGGAGGCGGAGGUUGCAGUGAGCCAAGAUCACUGCACUCCAGCCUGGAUGACAGAGUGAGACUCCAUCUCAAAAAAAAAAAUCCAGGUUCUUAUUAUGUUGCCCAGGCUGGAGUGCAGUGGCUAUUCACAGGCGUGAUCAUUGCACACUACAGUCUCAAACUCCUGGGUUUAAGCAAUCCUCCCACCUCAGCCUCCCAAGUAGCUGGGAGUAGAGGCAUACACCACCAUGCCUGGCUCUUUACUCUUAGCUGGGUUCACUUCAAGUGUUGCUUUAGUUCUGGGAAGUCCUCUUAAACUGUGCCCUUGCCAGCUAGACACUUUUAUUUUUUUUAUUUUUAAGAGAUAGAGUCUCGCUCUGUCUUCCAGCCUGGAAAGCGGUGGUUCAAUAACAGCUCACUGCAGCCUCCAACUCCUGGGCUCAAACGAUCCUCCUGCCUCGGUCUCUCAGGUAGCUGGGACCACAGGAACAUGCCAUCAUGUCCAGUUAAUUUAAAGUAAUUUUUUAGUAGAGACGGGGUCUCACUAUGGUCUCAAACUCCUGGGCUCAAGUGAUCCUCCCACCUUAGCCUCCCAAAGUGUUGAGACUAAAAGCAUGAGCCACUGCGCCCGACUGAAGAUGUUCUAAAGCACUUUGCAGGUUUCAGUGAAACAUGUUCCUUUUCUUCUGGGUUGAUCUAAUUCUCAGCUGAGUAGUGCCAUACCUACUUACUACUCAGGAGUCUUUCCUAGGGCGAUCUCAAGAGCAGGAGGGGAGGGGACCCUCCAGAACCCAGGGAGAGAAGGAAAUACACUCUGCUGUUUUUCUAGCUGACCAGCAGAUGGGGGCAGAAAUAAGAAGGUAGGUGGGGGCAGAAAUAAGGAGGUGGGUUGGGGACAGAAAUAAGGAGGUGGGUAGCCAGCCCUGACUUCGGGGCAUGGUCCAGCCGAGCCCCUAGGGAGAGAAGCACUUACCUAGGAAUCCUUCCUCAUCGACAAUGAUAGUGUAAUCCUCUGGUGUCUCAGUCAGACUGAAGAACUUGCACCUGGAUGGAUGGACAGACAGACACAGAAUAUCUCAUUAGUCCAGGCAGGUCCCCUGGGGCAGCUGCCCACCCGUGCCCCGGGGAUGAUGUCUCAGUUUACCCAGAGUUCCAGCCCCAGGCUGCUGGGUGACCGCGGGUAAGUUGUUUAUCUCUCCCUUCAUGUCCCCCUACUCAGUUCUCACUCAGGAGAGGCACAGAGAUGCUGAUUGUCCCCACUGUACCCCCGCAAUCUUUGGGGACCUCUGAGCCAGUCAGCCCCUAUGAUUGUGUCCAGGCCUGAGGGCCCGAGAUCCCAAGUUUUCUUGGAGGGAAGAAGUGGCCAAAGGGUGGCUCCAGUGUGGGUCAGGCAGAGGAGCCGUCUUUUCCAUGGCCCUGCCACUGUAACCUCUAGGUGUCUGUUCCCAUCUCCCCUCCCAUUGUCUUGGGCUCCUCCUCAGCAACUCUGGAGCUCCAAGUCACAAAAAUGCCUAAUUCCCACCAGCUGACUGACAGCCCAGCCCUUGGUUAACUUUCCAUCCCUAAAGAGAGAGGAAUGCGGCCAUCCGUGACAUUUUUGGGACAUGGAUCUCUGCCCCACCUCACAUCACCUCUGAUAGCACCGCUCAGCCGGGGAGCCAGAACCGCACCCCCACUGCACCCUAGAGAGUAUUGCAAGCAGAGAUGGCAAGUCCAAGCGUGCACAGGCAGAGGCUUGCAGGAAACUGACCCCUGGCCGCUUAUCUGGUGUUCCGGCUCUCAAGCACAAAGCCAGGCAUGGGCUCUGCAUCCCCACCCAUUGAGGGGAGCCAGGACAGAAAGAAGCCCACAAGUAACCCAGGUGUAUUUGUCUGUUCUCAUGCUGCUAAUAAACACAUACCCGAGACUGGGUAAUUUAUAAAGGGAAAAGGUUUAAUGGACUCAUAGUUCCACGUGGCUGGUUGGUGGUUGGCAGGGUUGCGGGGGCGGGGGUGCUCACAAUCAUGACAGAAGGCAAAGAAGGAGCCAAGGCACGUCUUACAUGGCAACAGGCAAGAGAGCAUGUGCAGGGGAACUACCUUUAUAAAACCAUCAGAUCUCCUGAGACUUAUUCACUGCCACGAGAACAGUAUGAGGGAGACCACCCCCAUGAUUCAAUUAUCUCCACCUGCCCCCACCCUUGACACGUGGGGAUUAUUACAAUUCAAGGUGAGAUUUGGGUGGGCACACAGCCAAACCAUAUCACCAGGCAAAGGGCAAGUAUCACUCUCUCAAAUAUGCAAAUGGAAAAGGGAUCUUUGAGUGGACAGUGUUGCAGGGGAUGGGGGUGGCUGGUGUAUCCAUGGGUCGCCCUCCUCCCUGGCCUCCUCUCCUGCCACCUGCCCUGCAGCCCCCUCAUCUACAGAACCUCUCCAGCUCCUUUUUAAAACUUAUUCCUGAAAAUUUUCACAAGGAUAUGGAGCCACUGGAACUCUCUUAUGCUGCUGGUGGGAGUACAAAAUGGCCCAGCCCUUCAAACAUUCAUUUGGCAGUUUCUUUCUUCUUUUUAGAGAUAGGGUCUUGCUCUGUCACCCAGUCUGGCGUGCAGUGAUGCAAUCACAGCUCAUGGAGGCCUUGAAUGCCUGGGCUCAAGCAAUUCCCCUGCCUCAGUCUCCUGAGUAGCUGGAACUACAGGCACACAAUACCAUGUCCAGCUAAAUUUUUUUUUUUUUUUUUGAGACAGAGUCUCUCACCCUGUCACCCAGGCUAGAGUGCAGUGGCAUCUCAGCUCACUGCAACCUCCACCUCCCAGGUUCAAGUGAUUCUCCUGCCUCAGCUUCCCCAGUAGCUGGGCUUACAGGCGCCCGCCACCACAUCUGGCUAAUUUUUGUAUUUUUAGUGAAGACAAGGUUUCUCCAUGUUGGCCAGGCUGGUCUCGAACUCCUGACUUCAGGUGAUCCACCCGUCUCAGCAUCCCAAAGUGCUGGGAUUAUAGGCGUGAGCCACCGUGCCCAGACAGUCCAGCUAGUUUUUAAAGUUGUUUUUGUAGAGAUGAGGUCUUGCUAUGUUGUCUAGGCUGGUCUUGAACUCUUGUCCUUAAGCGAUCCUCCCUCUUUGGCUUUCCAAAGUGCUGGGAUUACAGGCGUGAGCCACUGCACCCAGCUGGCAAUUUCUUAUAAAGUUCAGCACACAUUGACCACCCAGCCUCAGCUAUCCUGCUCCUGGGUAUUCAUCCACGAGAAGUGAAAACAGGUGCCCGCACAAAGACUUAGAUGCGAAUACAUAUUGCCUGUUUGUAUUUGCUCUAAAUUGGAAACAACCCAAAUGUCCUUCCUUCAACUGGAAAGAGGAUAAACUAAGGCACAUCCACAUGAGGAAAUACGGGUCAGCAAUUAAAAGGAAUAAACUACCGAUUCAUGCAUUAACACGGGUAGAUCUAAAGUGCAUUUUGCUAAGUUAAACAGCCAAGCUCAAAAGAUUCUAUACUGUAUGUUUCUAUUCAUACAACAUUCUGGAAGAGGCCAAACUAUAGGGACAAAUGAUUAGCAGUUAUCAGGGGACGGGUAGACACUGACUAGAGAGGGGCACUGGGAAAUUCUGGGGGGAUGGGCCUCUUGAGUGUGGCGGUGGUUACAAGAUCAUAUAAAUUCACAUAAAUUUAGGCCGGGCACGGUGACUCACGCCUGUAAUCCCAGCACUUUGAGAGGCAGAGGUGGGAGGAUCACCUGAGGUCAGGAGUUUGAGACCACUUGGCCAACAUGGUGAAACCCUGUCUCUACAAAAAAAUGCAAAAAUUAGCCAGGCGUGGCAGUGGGCACCUGUAAUCCCAACUACUGGGGAGGCAGAGGCAGAAGACUCGCUUGAACCCAGGAGGCGGAGGUUGCAAUUAGCCAAGAUCACGCCACUACACUCCAGCCUGGGUGAUUAGAUUCAGACUCCAUCUCAAAAAAACCUCACAAGAUCAUAUAAAUUUGUCAAAACCCAAAGAACUAUCUGCUAAAAAGGGGUGAAUUUGUGAAUUACGCUGUAUGUAAAUCAUACCUUGAUAAACUUGAAUGUAAAGAAAAUGCUUGGUCUGCUGCGGUGGCUCACGCCUGUAAUCCCAGCAUUUUGGGAGGCUGAGGUGGGCGGAUCACUCGAGGUCAAGAGUUUGAGACCAGCCUGGCCAACAUGGCAAAACCCCAUUUCUACUAAAAAUAUAAAAAUUAGCCCGGCGUGGUGGUGGGCGUCUGUAAUCCCAGCCACUUGGAAGGCUGAGGCAGGAGAAUUAUUUGAACCUGGGAGGUUGCUGUGAGCUGAGAUCGUGCCACUGCACUAGAGCCUAGGCAACAGAGCCACUCCAUCUCGGGGAAAAAAAAAAAAAAAAAUCCUGUGCUAGGGUCAUCCAUGAGGUGGCCUCUCUCCCCCUGGGAGGGGCGUAACGCAUUCUGCUGGAACAACCACCCACGCUCAUCAAUUUCCCUCCGGCUCUUCAGUUUUCUAAUUACGUCUCUGUCCCUGCCUGUCCCAUAUCCAAUUUGCAAGUAUUGCCUGGAUACGUGAAAUCUAUAAUUGCUUUGAGAACAACAGCAAAUUAUCACCACAGUAAGUGGCAAUCACUGGUCAGGCCUGGACCCUUCCUAGGGACCCCCAUGAACUCAGAAAGAGCCCUGGACUCCCACAGUCACCAGACUGCCAUGAGCUGGUACUCCCUGGGUGGGGUGGGGCUGCCCAGCUGCCCGAGAGCCCCGGGGAGGCAAACAGACGCGGCCCUUGCUCCCGGCGCCCUCGGCUCUGAGGGACACUCCAGAAAUAGACCGCACAAAUUAUUCCGGAAGGCAUAAACACCAGCAGAAGGCAACAGCGGCCUGUGUGUAAACGGAGUAUAAAUAUGUUGUUGAAGUGACCUGUCCCCAGGGGCUGAGCAAUUCUGUGGCUCUGCCAGCUAGGGGACAUCUCAGAAUGUGCACCUCGGCACGGGUGGGCUUCGGGGAGGGCAGAUCAGCCGGAGGCACCUGCUGCCGUCGCUCUGGUCACUACCCUCAGGAGUCGGCCCCCAGACUCCUCCCUCUCCUUGACCUCCUUGUUGUUGU
rnacentral:lncRNA from 1 species